GGUUUGGAUAAGCGCUGAAAGCAUCUAAGUGCGAAGCCAACUCCAAGAUAAGGUUUCCCACCGGGUUAACCGGGUAAGGGCCCUGGUAGACAACCAGGUUGAUAGGCCGGAGGUGUAAGAGGAGCAAUCCUUUGAGCUGACCGGUACUAAUAGCCCGAGGGCUUGUUCACCUAUAACUCACUCU
rnacentral:rRNA from 1 species